rnacentral:rRNA from 1 species
GAUGAACGCUGGCGGCGUGCUUAACACAUGCAAGUCGAACGGUGAACGAGGGAGCUUGCUCCCUCCGGAUCAGUGGCGAACGGGUGAGUAACACGUGAGCAAUCUGCCCUAGACUCUGGGAUAAGCGUUGGAAACGACGUCUAAUACCGGAUACGAGGCGUGGGGGCAUCCCCAACGCCUGGAAAGAACUUCGGUCCAGGAUGAGCUCGCGGCCUAUCAGCUAGUUGGUGAGGUAACGGCUCACCAAGGCGACGACGGGUAGCCGGCCUGAGAGGGUGACCGGCCACACUGGGACUGAGACACGGCCCAGACUCCUACGGGAGGCAGCAGUGGGGAAUAUUGCACAAUGGGCGCAAGCCUGAUGCAGCAACGCCGCGUGAGGGACGACGGCCUUCGGGUUGUAAACCUCUUUUAGCAGGGAAGAAGCGAAAGUGACGGUACCUGCAGAAAAGCACCGGCUAACUACGUGCCAGCAGCCGCCGUAACAC